UACGGAGGGCUCAACCGUUGUUCGGAUUCAUUGGGCGUAAAGGGCGCGUAGGCGGUCGCGUAAGUCCGGUGUGAAAUCCCGGGGCUCAACCCCGGAACUGCAUUUGAUACUGCGUGGCUUGGGUACGGGAGAGGAGACUGGAAUUUACGGUGUAGCAGUGAAAUGCGUAGAUAUCGUAAGGAAGACCAGUGGCGAAGGCGAGUCUCUGGACAGUUACCGACGCUGAGGCACGAAGGUCAGGGGAGCAAACGGG
rnacentral:rRNA from 1 species